CGGGGCCGGGCGGCGUGCUUACACAUGCAGUCGAACGGUGAAGCCCAGCUUGCUGGGUGGAUCAGUGGCGAACGGGUGAGUAACACGUGAGCAACCUGCCCCUGACUCUGGGAUAAGCGCUGGAAACGGCGUCUAAUACUGGAUAUGUGACGUGACCGCAUGGUCUGCGUCUGGAAAGAAUUUCGGUUGGGGAUGGGCUCGCGGCCUAUCAGCUUGUUGGUGAGGUAAUGGCUCACCAAGGCGUCGACGGGUAGCCGGCCUGAGAGGGUGACCGGCCACACUGGGACUGAGACACGGCCCAGACUCCUACGGGAGGCAGCAGUGGGGAAUAUUGCACAAUGGGCGCAAGCCUGAUGCAGCAACGCCGCGUGAGGGACGACGGCCUUCGGGUUGUAAACCUCUUUUAGCAGGGAAGAAGCGAAAGUGACGGUACCUGCAGAAAAAGCGCCGGCUAACUACGUGCCAGCAGCCGCGGUAAUACGUAGGGCGCAAGCGUUAUCCGGAAUUAUUGGGCGUAAAGAGCUCGUAGGCGGUUUGUCGCGUCUGCUGUGAAAUCCGGAGGCUCAACCUCCGGCCUGCAGUGGGUACGGGCAGACUAGAGUGCGGUAGGGGAGAUUGGAAUUCCUGGUGUAGCGGUGGAAUGCGCAGAUAUCAGGAGGAACACCGAUGGCGAAGGCAGAUCUCUGGGCCGUAACUGACGCUGAGGAGCGAAAGGGUGGGGAGCAAACAGGCUUAGAUACCCUGGUAGUCCACCCCGUAAACGUUGGGAACUAGUUGUGGGGUCCAUUCCACGGAUUCCGUGACGCAGCUAACGCAUUAAGUUCCCCGCCUGGGGAGUACGGCCGCAAGGCUAAAACUCAAGGAAUUGACGGGGACCCGCACAAGCGGGCGGGAGCAUGGCGGAUUAAUUCGAUGCACGCGAAGAACCUUACCAAGGGCUUGGACAUAUACGAGAACGGGCAGAAAUGGUCAACUUCUUUGGACACUCGUAAAACAGGUGGUGCAUGGGUUGUCGUCAGCUCGUGGUCGUGACGAUGUUGGAUUAAAUUCCCAGCAACGACCGCAACCCUCGUUUCUUAUGUUGCCCAGCAGCGUAAUGGGUGGGAAGCUGCAUGAGAAUUAUU
rnacentral:rRNA from 1 species